UAAUAGCAUAUAUUAAAGUUGUUGCAGUUAAAAAGCUCGUAGUUUAAUAAAGAGUGGAUAUGGAAACGUAGCACUCGGCGGGGGCGAACCCCACGUUUACUUUUGUAGAAAAAUAAGAGUGUUCAAAGACAAUCAAAAGAAUUGAAUAACCAUCAGCAUGGAAUAUAGCUAGACGACGCGCUUGUUAUGGUUAAAAGACGCGUAAUGCUUUAUUAGAAUCGGUUGGGGGCGAUUGGUAUUUUGUUGACGAGCGGUGAAAUAGCGUGGAGCCACGAAAGACUAACUCCUGCGAAAGCGUCUGCCCAGGACGACUUUUUUAAUUCAAGAACGAAAGUUAGGGGA
rnacentral:rRNA from 1 species